rnacentral:rRNA from 1 species
GAAACAAUAGAGCAAGUGCUCUUAACAUGCACCUUUGCUAGGACGGUUUGGGCGGGCCUAUGCCAGGCAUUGGGGAAGUUGGAUUGGACACCCACUUCGGAUGAGUGCCUCCAGACUUGGCUAUGCAGUAAACAAGGACUCCCCACCAUUUCCAAGAAGGAUUUGCACACACUACUAUUGCUGACGUUGUGGGAAAUAUGGAAACAUAGGAAUGCAGUUGUGUUCGAUGGGGCAAGGCCAUCGGUUGCUGAGCUUCUACGCAAAAUCUCCGCAGAAGGUAGAACAUGGUUGAUGGCUGGGCUCAUUAGAGAAAAUGUGGAUCAUGUGUUUGCAGGUCUAAUACGAUGGAGCAUUGGGGAGCGAGGAGUAGACUAUGUUAGGGUGGAGUGGAGAUGUAUGUGUUCUUCUUCUUCUUGUGAGAUGUAA